rnacentral:rRNA from 1 species
AUUGAACGCUGGCGGCAGGCCUAACACAUGCAAGUCGAGCGAGCGGCGGACGGGUGAGUAAUGUAUGGGGACUGCCCGAUAGAGGGGGAUAACUAUUGGAAACGCUGGGUAAUACACCAUACUGUCGGAUAACCCAUAUGUGCUUAGCUAGUUGGUAAGGUAAUGGCGGACCUAGGCGACGAUCCCUACCUGGUCUGAGAGGAUGGUCAGCCACACUGGUACUGGGAACCGGCCCAGACUCCGACGGAGGCAGCAGUGGGGAAUAUUGCAACAAGGGCGCAAGCCGGAUGCAGCCAUGCCGCGUGUAUGAAGAAGGCCCUAGGGUUGUAAAGUACUUUCAUUCGGGAGGCGUUACCGACAGAAGAAGCACCGGCUAACUCCGUGCCAGCCGCCGCGGUAAUAC